UUUCAGAUAGCCCAUUUGGCAAAUCAUGAGACUCUUAAUUUCAGGGUUGUGGGUUCAAGCCCCACGUUGGGCAAAA